UACGUAGGGUGCAAGCGUUAAUCGGAAUUACUGGGCGUAAAGCGUGCGCAGGCGGUCUUGUAAGCCAGAUGUGAAAUCCCCGGGCUCAACCUGGGAAUGGCAUUUGGGACUGCAAGGCUGGAGUUUGGCAGAGGAGACUGGAAUUCCUGGUGUAGCAGUGAAAUGCGUAGAUAUCAGGAGGAAUACCGAUGGCGAAGGCAGGUCUCUGGGCUAUAACUGACGCUCAUGCACGAAAGCGUGGGGAGCAAACAGG
rnacentral:rRNA from 1 species